UUUGCGAUUUCUCCCAAAUUCCACCUGACGCGUCUUCUUCUCAAAUCACGCACGCGAUGCAAUUUCUUCUCCAGUCCCAAAUCGCGCGCGUGAUCUUCUUCUCCAAUCCCAAAUCGCGUAGGACUCCAAGGUAGGCACGACUCCAAGUUAAGGUGCACGCGAUCUUCUUUUCCUGUCCCAAAUCGCACACGGCUCGAAGGUAGGCGCGACUCCAACUUAAGGCACACACGAUCUUCUUCCCUGGUCCUAAAUCAUGCACGACUCCAAGGUAGAUAUGAGCUUGAUCGCAUGGAGGUGAACCUAAGAAGGAAAGGGUCCUUCACGUCUUUGAGAGAGGAUCUGAGGGAGAUGUUCUUGCCAGAGGAUCCAUUUUGGUAGCGUUCGGCUGUGGCAGAGUGUCACCAGUCCUCGAGAUCUACGCUAAUGCUCACGUACUUGGUAACCAUUCUGGAAUGGGGGCCAAAAUAUAACCUCACUAAGUUCCAAUGCGAUCUCCUCGUCGGCUUCACCGUCACCAUCCUCGCUGUCCCACAAGGCAUCAGCUACACCCCCCUCGCCUACCUUCACCCCAUCAUCGGCCUCUAUUCGAGUUUCAUCCCGCCGUUAAUCUAUGCGAUAUGUGGUAGCUCCACAAACGUGGCUGUGGGGGACACCGUCGCCGUCUGGCUGUUUCUUGCUUCGGCCAUCGGAGUUGUACACGCAUUUGCUCUUCACCGCCCCCUUCUUCACUGGACUCUUUCAAGCAGCGCUUGACAUCUUCAGAUGGAUGAAUACGUGCAUAUGUAGGCUGACUGUGGAGUUCUUCUCACAUUCGAUGAUCACUGGUUUCAUGGGAGGCACAACGGUCAUCUUCAUCAUGCAACAACUCAAAGGGAUGCUGGGAUUGAAACAUUUCACCACAAACACUGAUCUCGUCUCUAUCAUGUGCUCUAUCAACUCCCACAGAGAUGAGUUUGAUACUUAAUUAAUUAAUUACUUGAAAAUUAAUUAUAAACAAUCUGGGACUGCUAAUCUGCUAUCUAUUGCUAAUAGUUUAAAGUUUUAGUGGAGAUGGGAAAGCGCUGCUCAUGGGAUAUACUUGAUUACCAUUUUGCUCCUCAAUAGUCAUGUGGUUAUGAUAACAUAUGCUUCAUAUUCUUCAGCUAACAGUCAACAAAAGGAACAAUAUAAAGAGAGACAAAAUGUUGUUGAUCAAUCUUGUCAGCCUUCAAUCAAUCUCAAAUCAUGGCGUGAUGUGGUGGGCGUUUGGGCGACCCAUGUAAGGGGAGGGUGCGAGUACGGAUUUGGACGCAAUCAAUACCUUAUAAGAUUACACAAUGAAAGUUUCAAUGACAUGUGCUCUAAUGAGAAGAAUAAAGAAUUAUCUUAAUGAGAAGAAUAAAGAAUUAUCUCAAGAAAUUGAAGAAAUGUGUACUACUAGCAAAAGGAUGGAGGAAGAAAUUAUUGAAAGCAAAAAUAAAUGGGAACUCGUUAUCAAAGAAAAUAGUCAAAGGGAAGAACAACUUAUCGAGGAAAGUAGGCAAAGAGAAGAAAAUCUAAAGGAGAUGGUUCGUAAAAUGAUUCAAGAGAUGGGAUAUACAAAUCAUUUAUAUCCAAGAGGAUAUGGUCUCGUGAGCAUCGUGAUAGACGAAUAAAGAUUAAAUUACUUUU